GCCUAGCUCAGUUGGCAGAGCAUUGGGCUAGUAUUCCAAACGUCGUAGGUUCGAUUCCCACCAGGGCG
rnacentral:tRNA from 1 species